rnacentral:rRNA from 1 species
CAAAGCUUGACAUGCUCUUGCACCAGCCGUAAUGGGCUGUCCUCUUCGGAGGCGGGAGCACAGGUGCUGCAUGGCUGUCGUCAGCUCGUGUCGUGAGAUGUUGGGUUCAGUCCCGCAACGAGCACAACCCCUGUCGGAUGUUACCAGUCAUCCGAGACCGCCGCGAUGAACGUGGAGGAAGGAGGGGAUGACGUCAAGUCAGCACGGCCCGUACGUUUUGGGCGACACACACGCUACAAUGGUCGGGACAACGAGUUGCGAACCAGCGAUGGGGAGCUAAUCUCAUCAAACCCGGCCUCAGUUCAGAUUGGAGGCUGAAACUCGCCUCCAUGAAGUCGGAGUUGCUAGUAACCGUAGGUCAGCACACCACGGUGAAUACGUUCCC